CCCCCCGCCGCGGCCGUUGGCGCGCGCUCCCGCAGAUCAAAAACUGCGCCCGAGUUGGGGGGCCCGCGCCCGGGGGUGGGGGAGGGCUGAGCGGGCGAGGAGUGUACUGAGUCGGCGCAGAAGCGUGCCUGGCACCGGGGAUCUGUGAUGAAUCCAGUUGAGUGCGAAGUCGGCGCCAUCUUUGAUGCAGUCACAGGGGAGAUUCAUCAGUCAAGAUCAUAGAAGGAACAUAAAAAUGCUGGAGAAACCAGCGGGUGCAGCAGCAUCUACGGAGCGAAGGAUCAUAGAGUCAAGAUUGUGAAAGAAGGGACAAACAGAUGCUGGUUUACACCGAAGAAAACAGACACAAAAUGCUGGAAUUUCUCAGCCGGACAGGCAGCAUCUCUGGAUAGAAGGAAUGGAAGAGGGUCUGUCUUAUGUACCAAAGCAGAACAAUGAAACUCUUUCUUGCAGCAGCUUAACAGGAAAUCUAAUGGAUCAGGGAAUGUAGCGAUUGCAUUUUUCAUUGAAGAAACAGAAACUCAGCCUCCACUCCCACUCCCUUCUUUAAAGAAAGGCCCAACAAGUUCAAGAAACCAACUACUUCGAGGCUUGACGAUGCCCUGAGCGUUCCUGCGGGACUGAAAGCAAUGGAUAUCUCCAAGAACAACUCCAUGUUCAGUCACCAGUUACUGCCACUGGAACCAGGCAAACCAUGGAAGAUCUUGAAGAGUCUUGGACAUAAGGUCAUAAGUGACAAGAGUAGAAUUAGGCUACUCAUCCCAUCAAGCUAGCUCCGACAUUCAAUCAUGGCUGAUCUAUCUCUCCCUCUUAACCCCAUUCUCUUGCCUUCUCCCCAUAACCUCUGACACCCGUCCUAACCAAGAAUCUAUCCAUCUCUGCCUUAAAAAUAUCCACUGACUUGGCCACCACAACCUUCUGUGGCAAAUAAUUCCACAGAUGCAAUUUAGUAACUUGUCAGUUUCUUUGUUGAACUAAAUUAAGGCGCAUGUUGCAAUCAAAAGCGUUUGAACAAGUGUUUGGGAAGAAAGCCAAACUGUAAGAAAGACGACUGCGCCUCUGACUAAAGCAAUUUCUCCUCAACUCCAACCUAAAGGAACUGGUAGAACUGCCCUGGGAGUUUGUCACUUCCGGCUGUCUGCCUUCCACAGCCUCCAACCUUAUCAUUCCCCAGCUACGCAUGGCCCAGUUUUACCCUCUCCCCAAAAUUCAUAAACAGAACUGCCCAGGCAGCAGUGUCUCAGUCGGAAGAAAGUUAUCAACCCGAAAAGUCACCUACUCCUUUUCCCCAGAGAUGCUGCCUGAAACGUUGAGUUUCACCUGCAUUUUGUGUCUAUCUUCGGUGUAAACCAGCAUCUGCAGCUGCUUCCUGCACAGGUACAGGUAGAGUCAUAGAAUCAUAGAGUGAUACAUAGAAGUGGAGACAGCUCCUUGGGCCCAACUUGCCCACACAGGCCAACAUAUCCCAGCUAUACUAGUCCCACCUGCCCGCGUUUGGUCCAUAUCCCUCCAAACCUGUCCUAUCCAUGUACCUGUCUAACUGCUUCUUAAAUGUUGGGAUAGUCCCAGCCUCAACGACGUCCUUUGGCAUGUUGUUCCAUAUGGUCACCUCCCUUUGUGUGAAAAAGCUACCCCUCAGAUUCCCAUUAAAUAAUUUCCCCUUCACCUUAAACCUAUGUCCUCUGGUCCUCGAUCCACCUAUUCUGGGCAAGAGACUCUGUGCCUUAUUUAACUUCUCUAACUUCAGGUAGCCCGUGCUUUCCCUCUCUCUCCAUCCCCUCCCGUUUCCCAGUUCUCCCACUAGUCUUACUGUCUCCGACUACAUUCUAUCUCUGUCCUGCCCCUCUCCCCUGACAUCAGUCUGAAGAAGGGUCUCGACUCGAAACGUCACCCGUUCCUUCUCUCCAGAGAUGCUGCCUGUCCCGCUGAGUUACUCCAGCAUUUUGUGUCCACCUUCGAUUUAAACCAGCAUCUGCAGUUCUUUCCAACACAUUUUAUCUAUUCUCCUGAUGAUUUGAUAUGGAAUGGUUGUGCGAAGCCAAUGCUUAACUUGCAGAGAAUCUCGACGAGACAUUGGAAGGAAACAGGUCCUCUCAUCGUCCUGACAUUCUGUUUGUGGGGGAGGGGAACAACAGGGAAGAAGGGCAACCCCUCCAGUGUUUUCACCUCCAGUUCAUUAAUCUGUGAGUCCAAUGUAUCUGUUAAUCAUUCUGUGCAAAUAAACAUAUCCUCUUAUCAGCUCGAUAUUUGCCCUGAAGUGUGAACUAGAUAGUUAAUUCACAUGGAGAUUUACUUUGUAUUUCAGUUGAGAGAUACAACGCGGAAACAGGCCCUUUGGCCCACCGAGUCCGCACCGACCAGCGACCCCCGCACAUUACCACUAUCCUACACACUCUAGGGACAAUUUUGC